GGAUCUGAGCCUCAUCUGAGACCUACACCACAACUCAUGGCAACACUGGAUCCUUAACCCACUGAGUGAGGCCAGGGAUUGAACCUGAAUCCUCAUGGAUGCUAGUCAGACUUGUUUCUGCUGAGCCAUGAUGGGAAAUCCUCAGCAGCUAUUUUGCAACCACUGACACAGUUCUCUGCUAGUCCUGUCCUUCCUGCAUCUAGCAGGAAGGCUGAGGUCAAAAACACAGUUAACCACAACACAAAGCAAGAGGAUGGUAAGUCCUUUAAGGUAGAUUAUAUCCUCAUUAAUAUACUUAUCACCCUGAGGAUUCAGUGAGUGCCAAAACAGAGUCUCAAACAAUAUAAACAUGUAUUAAGCCUUCCAUGGCAUUACUCUUUAACUUCUUUAGCUAAAAUAUGCUAUACAUAAGAUCUGCAGACAGACACAGCCAUAGCAUAUGGAAGUUCCCAGGCUAGGGGUCAAAUCAGAGCUGCAGUUGCUGACCUACACCACAGCCACACUAGAUAUGAGCCAUGUCUGUGACCCACAUCACAGCUCACACAACGACAAAUCCUUAACCUACUGAGCAGGGCCAAGGAUCGAACGUGCCUCCUAAUGGAUACUAGUUGGGUUCAUUACCUAUGAUUUACAGUGGGAACUCCAAGAGUAAUUCUUUUUUCACGUCUAAAUGGAAAGGCACAAUGUCCAUUCUGAUCACAGACAGUCACACUCUCUCAGGGUCAGGGAUGGGAAGGAGACAGGGUGCUUUCAGCCGGAGGGGAAAGAGAAGGUUAACCCAUGCCAUGGAAUCCCUUUUCUGUCAUGCUCUGUCUGGAGCUCUUCUCGUAUCUUGUCUUAUUCCUCCAAACAUUCCUCUCAAUAGUGAUGUACUACUGUAUUAAUGUACUAGAAUAAUGCUUCUGAAAUACUGAUGAAUUUCCCUUUUUUGUAAUUACUUUUCUCCCUUGGCCCUUUUUUCUCCUCUCAAUCAGGUAGGCUAUUUUGUGUUAGUUGCUUGGGGGAAGGAUGUGGAACCAGAGCAGAUAAAAAAGCCAUUUCAAAAGCCAAGGCCCUUUGGCAAGGAAAAUCACUCAAGCUUAAGAGUUGGACUGAGUAACAGAAGUUACUACCUCCAGCUCAAAGCCAUCUUGCCAACUAUAAAAAUGUUCUCCAGGCUGGAAUAAGAAGUCAGAAAAGAAACAAUGAGACAGCAUGGAAGAUGGGAGGCCCCUCUAAAUGUGGUCCUGUCCUCUCUCCUUGGGCUGAACCUGAGCAGGUAGAAAAAAAUCUCAUAUUUGUUUUAGGGGUGUGAGAGCAAAAAGACUUCUGUCUUGUCUGCUUAUAUUGUGGCAGGAAGAUAGUUCAUCUCCAGAGACUUGGUUACAAGAUGUGUCAUGCAGUGGUGUGCUAGACCUGGCUAGCUAAAGUUGAUUGGUACACUUACGGGAGUUUUGUGAGCUGAGUGUUAAAUCCUAAGUAACUUAAAAUCAGUCAUGGUGGGAGCAUUUAUACCCCAGAAAUUGGAAAACUCUGAAAAUUAGGACCUUCCUCUCCCCACCCCUCAGAGGUCAUUAAACAUUUACCUGCACACAACUGGAGAGGUGGAGGAAGACUUAGACAGUGUUGGAGAAUGAUACCUGUGUUCCCACAAAUUAAUGAGAAGGAGAGGAAAUCCCUCCAGAUGGAGGGAUCCUCCAAAUAGGUGACUGUCUUUGGAAACUGCACAGAUCAACAACAGAGACCCACAAAGGAAGGAGAGGUCAGCAAAUGUUCAAAUGACACUGCUAAGAGAUUAGGCCCCUGGGAUGAUGAUGUUUUAGAUAAGUACCCUAGAACAUAAAUGCAAACCUGGGAAAAGGCCCAGAAAUCCUAAAUUAUUUGACAGGACAUUUCCUCCACCACGUGGAAUAGGGACUCAAAACAUGAAUUAAAUUCUUAUGGAAAAAUAAAAUCACACAUAUUAUAUACCUGAGUUUGUGAAAUUUACAUCUACAUCUACAUCUGUGUGACAGAUGAGAAAUGUGAAGGCUGGAGAGGUGGCCUCCCCAUAAUCUCAUCUAACUCCCUGAUCCAUGCUGUUUUCACCUCGGGGGAGCUGAUAUUGUGGGUGGCAUUUCUGGGGGUGGGGAACUGAUUUAAGGAGUAGGACCCAGAGCAGGUGCAAGCCAUGAAAAUGUAAAACAUUCUCCCAGUCCCAACCCAAAUCAACAAGAAGCUCCUGGACUCCUUACCUAGUAAGGUAAUUUUAAAAACAUUAAACAGACAGCUGAAAAGGCCUCUUUUCUUUGUUGUUGUUAUUUUUUUUGCCAUUUUCUUGGGCCGCUCUCGUGACAUAUGGAGGUUCCCAGGCUAGGGGUCGAAUCGGAGCUGUAGCCACCGGCCUAUGCCAGAGCCACAGCUACGCAGAAUCCGAGCCGCGUCUGCAACCUACACCACAGCUCAUGGCAACGCCGGAUCGUCAACCCACUGAGUAAGGCCAGGGACCGAACCCGCAACCUCAUUGUUCCUAGAUGGAUUCGUUAACCACUGCGCCACGACGGGAACUCCUGAAAAGGCCUCUUUUGAAUUAGUCAGGUUUUGCCAAAUAAUUUAAAAGCCGAGUUUGAUAGAGGGGCAAGAAUGAGAAAUGAGUAAUCCAACUGAUGACAGAUGGAGUGUAAAAGCAGGAGAUCAGGGACCAAGAGAAGAGAACAUGGCCAUGGUGCCAUGAAGGAGGAAAGAGCAUAUUUGGUGGAGUCCAAGCAGUGGGCUAUAGGCUGGUCUGUGUGGGGCCUGAGCAUGACUGGGUCAGCUCUCAACAAGCCUUAGGAGACAAUGGAUGAAUGGCAUUGGCAUAAAAGGGAAGCCAUGUGCCUGCUGAUGGCCCAGAGGGAGAACUCUCUGGUGGAGCAUGAGCUUUAGUUGUUAUUCAUGGCAGAGUAGGCACUCACUUCUCCAUCCCCUGCCACCCUCCCCCACCACUUUUCAAAGGCAUCCCUCCCACUGCAGUGAGCACAGUGCUCCAACCAACAUCAGCACAAAACAAAGGAGUCAAUUCCAGCUACGAACCAGCCCAGGGAAUCGUUUCAAACUAAGCAAAUGGAUCUGCCUUUACAGAGAGCCUCUCUUCAGGAACUGCAUCCUUCUGUGCAGAGGGAGGGUCCUUCAGUUCAUCCAAGGCAGCAGCCUCAUCCUGUUUUCCCUCCUGCUUCCAGGGUCUGGCUGAGCCUCCACAGAAGGCCAGACUCCCUCAACUUUGGAGGGAGACUUGAGCACCUAUCUCCUUUAACUAGACCAAAGCACCCUCUACCUCUGCUGGCCAUUAAAGGGUAUUUUAGAAGGCAAGGAGCAUCUCUCUUCUUCAGGGCUUGGCUGGCAACUUGGUGAGGCUGGGGGGAGGAGCAGACAGUGUGCGGCUCUCAGCUCUGCCUUCACUGGGGUAUAAAAUCCAUUCCACAUCAGGAAGCCAAAUAGUGACCCAGGGUCCCUGCCCUUCACCCCGUGGACACUAGUCAGAAGCCAAAGUGCACUAGGCACCUUGGAUCUCCUCUGAGCUAUAGGAGGAGGGCAGAGGCUGCUCUUUCUAGCCCACUCACAUUUUCCCCUUCUUCAUUCUGCUGUUUGGUCCUCUUUCUUCACCUAGAUUGUAACUGCACUGAAGAGAGGGGCUCUGCCUAAUAUCCCCUAAAAUCAUAGUAAGUGCUCAAGAAAUGCAUAUAUAGUUUGAUCACUGAUAAUGGGUCCAUGUGUUGCAAACAAUGUCCAUACCUUCCCAAUAGCUCUCACUACUUGAGUGCUAAAGAGGAGGAAUGGGAAUUCUCCCUGUGAUGCAGUAGGUUAAGGAUCUGAUUGCUGUGGCUCAGGCCUUUACUGAGGCGUGGGUUUGAUCCUUGGCCCAGCACAGUGGAUUAAGUAUCCCGCAUUGUUGCAGCUGUGGUGCAGGUCACAGCUGUAGCUUGAAUUCAAUCCCUGGCCCAGGAAAUUCCAUAUACCAUGGG
rnacentral:lncRNA from 1 species